rnacentral:rRNA from 1 species
AUUGAACGCUGGCGGCAUGCCUUACACAUGCAAGUCGAACGGCAGCACGGGUGCUUGCACCUGGUGGCGAGUGGCGGACGGGUGAGUAAUACAUCGGAACGUACCUUAUCGUGGGGGAUAACGCAGCGAAAGCUGUGCUAAUACCGCAUACGCCCUGAGGGGGAAAGCGGGGGAUCGCAAGACCUCGCGCGAUUAGAGCGGCCGAUGCCUGAUUAGCUAGUUGGUGGGGUAAAAGCCCACCAAGGCGACGAUCAGUAGCUGGUCUGAGAGGACGAUCAGCCACACUGGGACUGAGACACGGCCCAGACUCCUACGGGAGGCAGCAGUGGGGAAUUUUGGACAAUGGGGGCAACCCUGAUCCAGCAAUGCCGCGUGAGUGAAGAAGGCCUUCGGGUUGUAAAGCUCUUUUGUCAGGGAAGAAACACCGGCUCUAACACAGUCCGGGAAUGACGGUACCUGAAGAAUAAGCACCGGCUAACUACGUG